rnacentral:rRNA from 1 species
AAUGAACGUUGGCGGCGUGGAUUAGGCAUGCAAGUCGCGCGACAAGGAACCUUCGGGUUCUGGAGGAGCGGCAAACGGGGUAGUAAGGCAUCGGAACGUACCCUCUUGUUGGGAAUAGCCGCGGGAAACUGCGAGUAAUGCCCAAUAAUCCCUACGGGGCAAAGGUCCGCCGCAGGAGGAGCGGCCGAUGUGAUACCAGCUAGUUGGUGAGGUAAUGGCUCACCAAGGCUUAGACGUCUAGGGGGUGUGAGAGCAUGGCCCCCACCACUGGACGUNAGAUACUGCCACGANACCUACCGGUGGGCUGCAGUCGA